AAAAAUUAUUGAGUAAAAAAAGCACUACCUUUAAAAAAAACUGCAUACAAAAUACCAGAUUAAAUUGUUAAACAAAUUCCAAGUCCCCAAUCUAUCAAAAAAAGUUUCCUUGCCAGGUAAAAAAGAGUUUAAAUAAAGGGGCUUAAGUGGGCUAAGUUCGUUUUUUCAUCGGUAUGGCACGCUGAAAAGGCGCCAUUCUUAAGAAGCGUCCCUCCAUUUUUUUUAAACU